rnacentral:rRNA from 1 species
GAACUUGCCUCUUGGACUGGGACAACUGUUGGAAACGACAGCUAAUACCGGAUAUUAUGAGAUUCUCGCAUGAAAAACUUAUGAAAGCUAUAUGCGCCAAGAGAGAGCCUUGCGUUCCAUUAGCUAGUUGGUGGGGUAACGGCCCACCAAGGCGACGAUGGAUAGCCGGCCUGAGAGGGUGAACGGCCACAAGGGGACUGAGACACGGCCCUUACUCCUACGGGAGGCAGCAGUGGGGAAUAUUGGACAAUGGGCCACAAGCCUGAUCCAGCAAUUCUGUGUGCACGAUGAAGGUCUUCGGAUUGUAAAGUGCUUUCAGUUGGGAAGAAGAAAGUGACGGUACCAACAGAAGAAGCGACGGCUAAAUACGUGCCAGCAGCCGCGGUAAUACGUAUGUCGCAAGCGUUAUCCGGAUUUAUUGGGCGUAAAGCGCGUCUAGGCGGAAAAAUAAGUCUGAUGUUAAAAUGCGGGGCUCAACUCCGUAUUGCGUUGGAAACUGUUUUUCUAGAGUACUGGAGAGGUGGGCGGAACUACAAGUGUAGAGGUGAAAUUCGUA